rnacentral:ncRNA from 1 species
ACCACUGGACACGGGAGUCCCGGGUAGUCGACUGACUGCGGGGCUGAGAGUGGGCACAGCCGGAGCCUUCCGGACCUGCCCUUACCGUCACACCUGAUCCGGAUCAUGCCGGCGAAGGGAGGCUCGACCAUGACCGG